rnacentral:rRNA from 1 species
CUUUACUGUAACUUGAGAUUGGUUUCGGGUUUUAUUUGCGCAGUAUAGGUGGGAGGCGAUGAUAAAAUUUUUGCGGAAAUUUUUGAGCCAUCAGUGAGAUACCACUCUUGUAAAACUAGAAAUCUAACUUUAUACCAUUAUCUGGUUAAAAAACAGUCUCAGGCGGGCAGUUUGACUGGGGCGGUCGCCUCCUAAAAAGUAACGGAGGCGUACAAAGGUUUCCUCAAAUCGGUCAGACAUCGAUUGUAGAGCGUAAAGGCAUAUGGAAGCUUAACUGCGAGACCAACAAGUCGAGCAGAGACGAAAGUCGGUCUUAGUGAUCUGACGGUAUUGUGUGGAAAAGCCGUCACUCAACGGAUAAAAGUUA